UUGUUGAGAGACAAACCAGCGAGCUGAAAAUCCAUUGUUGUUGGAGGAGGGAAGAACUUGGAGGAAUCUUCCAUGAUUGAAGAGAAAAAUCUCUGAGAUGAAGAAGGAGUUGCUACUGCGUUAGGUUUGAAUGAUUUUUUGGUUUUCCGACAUCCUCCACCGAUGGGGACGUUUCUUAAGGCACCACCACGUGUCCAGUAACGGCGGCAAGAUUUGCAGAAGUGACGAGGCUGAGAGAGGCUGUAGUUGUUGUAGUAACAGAACUUUGUGUUUGAGGAGUUGCAACGAGGGCAUUUUAGGGUUUGUUGGUCUUGAGAGGUGGAGGAGGACGGUGGUUUUUUGGUAUGGGGUGUCCCGGUGGUACGGUGAUCCGGUUUAGGAGAGUGGAGAUUGGUAUGGGAGGACAUGAUGAUGAUGGGACGAGAGGAGAAAAGUUUGAAGGAAAUAAGUAAAGUAGGAGAAUAGAGAGAAAGAGAGGUUGAGGAACAGUCGGUACAAGGGUUUCGUGUGGUGUUAUAUAUUUAUACAAAUGAUUGUGUAUGUUUGUGUUUGUGUUUUUUUUUUUUAAAGUCACUUUGGCAUAAAUAAUUAUAGAUAUUGAUUUAUUUGAAGAAAACAAAAAGUGUUUUUGUCUUCAAAAAGUUGGAGAGAAAGACUUAAUUACUUUUCGUUUGUUAAUGACUUAGCAAAUAUAAAAAGUGGUUUUAUCGUAAAGAAUUGGAAGUACUUAAUUAUUUGAGAUUUUGGCAUUUGUAACUCUAUUUGUAAGAAAACUCUAUUUGUAUUUAUAUUGCACUAAUAUAGUGUGUUUAUAUUAUAGUGAAACUUUAAUAACUUGAGUUUUGUUAUUCAUUUCUAAGACAUUAAAUACAGUAUUAUUAAGUUACAAAAAAAUACAGUAUUAUUAAAAAUCUUAGUUAUGCGUACUGUACAGUUUACACAAAAUUUAUGGUAACACAAAAAAUUAUAAACAUAAUCUAUAUAAAUUUGAAAACUCAAUAUUUAUGUUAUAACAAAUCAAACUGUGAUAUCUGUGUUGGAUGUAAAUUUUGUUGGUAACGAUUAUACAAGAGUAGUAUUUUUUUUUUUUUUGCAAACAAAUUAAAUAUGUAUUUAACAUGUUUUAGUAAAGUCUUUGAGAUAAAACACCAAGCUUGAACUCCGUUGUUCCAUUGCUCACUUCCUCCUGUAUUAUUAUUAUUAUUAGCCACCCCUUCAGUAUCAUUAUUAUUACCAAAAUACCAUUCUGUCUGAUUAUCUCCUUUCUUCGUCGGCGACUGCGAUGAGUUCACGAUAUCGAGAUUCCUGUAAAGUAUCGGCUGUGGCCUCUCCACAACGACAGUCUCUUCUUUAGAGCUACCAAAAAGCAUAGCCAUCCUCUGUUGCUGAAGUCUCCAGUGCAAAUCUUGGUUUAAAGAACUCAAAGUUUCUAUCGAAGUUGCUAAGUUUCCGUCGGUUGCUCCGGCGGUUGUAAACGUCCCCGUUGAAUGGUUGUUGUUGUUGCUGUAAUCUCCAAAACCCAUUAAAGAUAAACCCGACCCGACAUCAACGGGUGUUGUCUCGACCUGGUCCAUGGGCCUAAGGCCAAGAACUUCUUGAUUAUUCAUAAGUUGAAGAUCGUUGAUUUUGUUGAGAGACAAACCAGCGAGCUGAAAAUCCAUUGUUGUUGGAGGAGGGAAGAACUUGGAGGAAUCUUCCAUGAUUGAAGAGAAAAAUCUCUGAGAUGAAGAAGGAGUUGCUACUGCGUUAGGUUUGAAUGAUUUUUUGGUUUUCCGACAUCCUCCACCGAUGGGGACGUUUCUUAAGGCACCACCACGUGUCCAGUAACGG
rnacentral:lncRNA from 1 species